AUGAUAUAUAUAUACACCAUAUAUAUACUAAUUGCUGAUUGUUUCUUCCAUUUGGUGGCAACCUUGUUGUUCCGUGCACUAUUGGCUAUUGUUUUUAUGGUUCGGUUCAUGAAGGUAAAGCACGCUAUGCAUUAUUCACUCUUAAUUGUUUUCAGUUCAUCCAUGGUUAUUCUUUGUUCAUCAUAUGUACCUCUGUUUGAGGCUAUCGCGGCCUACUGUCGAUUGCCAUUUCAUUUUUACCUUCGAGAAGUGGUUGCUGAUGGUUCUGUCAUUGGAGGAGUUGAGAUAGAUAAUUUUGUUAGUAAUCGCGUUGUGCGGUCUAGGACACGAUUUAUCUGGGAAGAAACAUUGGACGGGGGUUGUUCUUAUGUACCUCUAUUUGAGGCUGUCGCGGCCUACUGUAUAUUGCCAUUUCAUUUUUACCUUCGAGAAGUGGUCGUUGAUGGGUCUGUCAUUAGAAUAGUUGAGAUAGAUAAUUUUGUUAGCAAUCACGUUGUGCGGUCUACGACACGAUUUAUCUGGGAAGAAACAUUGGACGGGGGUUGUUCUUUGUUUGAUCAAGCCGUUUUCAGGCGGUGCGCUUCUUACAAGGACUGUACGGAUUUGUCGUUGUAG
rnacentral:rRNA from 1 species